UACAUAGGGGGCGAGCGUUAUCCGGAUUUAUUGGGCGUAAAGCGUGCGUAGGCGGUUUAUUAGGUCAGGCGUAAAAGAUCACAGCUCAACUGUGUAAGGCGUUUGAAACCGGUAGACUUGAAUAUGGUAGAGGUAAGUGGAAUUCCAUGUGUAGCGGUGGAAUGCGUAGAUAUAUGGAGGAACACCAAUGGCGAAGGCAGCUUACUGGGCCAGAAUUGACGCUGAGGCACGAAAGCGUGGGGAGCAAACAGGAUUAGAUAUCCUGGUAGUCCACGCCGUAAACGAUGAGAACUAAGUGUUGGCGUGAGUCAGUGCUGAAGUUAACGCAUUAAGUUCUCCGCCUGGGUAGUACGGUCGCAAGACUGAA
rnacentral:rRNA from 1 species